UAAGGAAUAUUGCUCAAUGGGAGAAAUCCUGAAGCAGCAACGCCGCGUGGAGGAUGAAGGGUCUAUGACUUGUAAACUCCUGUAAAGAAGGAAAAAAUUCCCAUUAGAUGGGAGAUGAUGGUACUUCUGGAGUAAGCCCCGGCUAACUACGUGCCAGCAGCCGCGGUAAUACGUAGGGGGCAAGCGUUGUCCGGAUUUACUGGUGGUAAAGGGUGCUCAGGCGGAUUUGUAAGUCAGAGGUGAAAUCUUACAGCUUAACUGUGAAACUGCCUUUGAUACUGCAAGCCUAGAGUAUGGAAGAGAGUGAUGGAAUAUCUGGUGUAGCAGUGAAAUGCGUAGAUAUCAGAUAGAACACCAAUGGCGAAGGCAGUCACUUGGUCCAUUACUGACGCUAAAGCACGAAAGCGUGGGUAGCAAACA
rnacentral:rRNA from 1 species